rnacentral:rRNA from 1 species
CGCGUAGGCGGUUGGAUAAGUCAGCUGUGAAAACCACGAGCUCAACUUGUGGCCUGCAGUUGAAACUGUCUGGCUAGAGUGUGGGAGAGGGAAGUGGAAUUCCUGGUGUAGCGGUGAAAUGCGUAGAUAUCAGGAGGAACACCGGUGGCGAAGGCGGCUUCCUGGACCACAACUGACGCUGAGGCGCGAAAGCUAGGGAGCAAACA